GUGGUCACUUUGGCAGCACAUAUACUAAAACUGGAACAAUACGGAGAAGACUAGCAUAGCCACUGCAUAAGGAUGACAUGCAAAUUCAUGAAGCAUUCCCUAUGUUU
ensembl:snRNA U6 U6 spliceosomal RNA